rnacentral:rRNA from 1 species
AGUGAACGCUGGCGGUAGACCUAACACAUGCAAGUCGAACGGCAGCACAGUAAGAGCUUGCUCUUACGGGUGGCGAGUGGCGGACGGGUGAGGAAUACAUCGGAAUCUACUUUUUCGUGGGGGAUAACGUAGGGAAACUUACGCUAAUACCGCAUACGACCUACGGGUGAAAGCAGGGGAUCUUCGGACCUUGCGCGAUUGAAUGAGCCGAUGUCGGAUUAGCUAGUUGGCGGGGUAAAGGCCCACCAAGGCGACGAUCCGUAGCUGGUCUGAGAGGAUGAUCAGCCACACUGGAACUGAGACACGGUCCAGACUCCUACGGGAGGCAGCAGUGGGGAAUAUUGGACAAUGGGCGCAAGCCUGAUCCAGCCAUACCGCGUGGGCGAAGAAGGCCUUCGGGUUGUAAAGCCCUUUUGUUGGGAAAGAAAAGCAGCAGGUUAAUACCCCGCUGUUCUGACGGUACCCAAAGAAUAAGCACCGGCUAACUUCGUG